rnacentral:rRNA from 1 species
AAGUCCCGCAACGAGCCGCAACCCCUAUUGUUAGUUGCCAUCAUUCAGUUUGGGCACUCUAGCGAGACUGCCGGUAAUAACCGGAGGAAGUGGGAUGAUGUCAAAUCAUCAUGCCCUUAUGACCUGGGCUACACACGUGCUACAAUGGUUGGUACAACGAGUUGCGAGUCGGUGACGGCGAGCUAAUCUCUUAAAGCCAAUCUCAGUUCGGAUUGUAGGCUGCAACUCGCCUACAUGAAGUCGGAAUCGCUAGUAAUCGCGGAUCAGCACGCCGCGGUGAAUACGUUCCCGGGCCUU